AUAUCAAUAAGCGGAGGAAAAGAAACCAACAGGGAUUGCCUCAGUAACGGCGAGUGAAGCGGCAACAGCUCAAAUUUGAAAUCUGGCCCCAGGCCCGAGUUGUAAUUUGCAGAGGAUGCUUCGGGUACGGCGCCUUCCAAGUCCCCUGGAACGGGGCGCCAUGGAGGGUGAGAGCCCCGUACGGUUGGACGCCGUGCCCGUGUGAAGCUCCUUCGACGAGUCGAGUAGUUUGGGAAUGCUGCUCAAAAUGGGAGGUAGACCCCUUCUAAAGCUAAAUACCGGCUGGAGACCGAUAGCGCACAAGUA
rnacentral:rRNA from 1 species